rnacentral:rRNA from 1 species
GACGAACCGAGCGAACGUUGUUCGGAAUCACUGGGCUUAAAGGGCGCGUAGGCGGGUGCUCAAGUCCGGGGUGAAAUCCUCCAGCUCAACUGGAGAACUGCCUCGGAUACUGGGUGCCUCGAGGGUGGUAGGGGUAUGCGGAACUAUCGGUGGAGCGGUGAAAUGCGUUGAUAUCGAUAGGAACUCCGGUGGCGAAGGCGGCAUACUGGACCACAUCUGACGCUGAGGCGCGAAAGCCAGGGGAGCAAAUGGG